AGAAUCAACGCUGGCGGCGUGCCUAACACAUGCAAGUCGAACGAGAAAGUGGAGCAAUCCAUGAGUAAAGUGGCGACCGGGUGAGUAACACGUGACUAACCUACCUUCGAGUGGGGGAUAACCUCGGGAAAACCGGGGCUAAUACCGCAUAACAUCUUUGAAGUGGAAAUUUCGGAGAUCAAAGGAGCAAUUCGCUUGAAGAGGGGGUCGCGGCUGAUUAGCUAGUUGGCGGGGUAACGGCCCACCAAGGCUUAGAUCGGUAGCCGGCCUGAGAGGGCGCACGGCCACACUGGAACUGAAACACGGUCCAGACUCCUACGGGAGGCAGCAGUGGGGAAUUUUGCGCAAUGGGGGAAACCCUGACGCAGCAACGCCGCGUGGAGGAUGAAGUCCCUUGGGACGUAAACUCCUUUCGACCCGGACGAUAAUGACGGUACGGGUGGAAGAAGCCCCGGCUAACUUCGUGCCAGCAGCCGC
rnacentral:rRNA from 1 species